rnacentral:rRNA from 1 species
GCGUGCCUAAUACAUGCAAGUCGAACGAACUCUGGUAUUGAUUGGUGCUUGCAUCAUGAUUUACAUUUGAGUGAGUGGCGAACUGGUGAGUAACACGUGGGAAACCUGCCCAGAAGCGGGGGAUAACACCUGGAAACAGAUGCUAAUACCGCAUAACAACUUGGACCGCAUGGUCCGAGUUUGAAAGAUGGCUUCGGCUAUCACUUUUGGAUGGUCCCGCGGCGUAUUAGCUAGAUGGUGGGGUAACGGCUCACCAUGGCAAUGAUACGUAGCCGACCUGAGAGGGUAAUCGGCCACAUUGGGACUGAGACACGGCCCAAACUCCUACGGGAGGCAGCAGUAGGGAAUCUUCCACAAUGGACGAAAGUCUGAUGGAGCAACGCCGCGUGAGUGAAGAAGGGUUUCGGCUCGUAAAACUCUGUUGUUAAAGAAGAACAUAUCUGAGAGUAACUGUUCAGGUAUUGACGGUAUUUAACCAGAAAGCCACGGCUAACUACGUGCCAGCAGCCGCGGUAAUACGUAGGUGGCAAGCGUUGUCCGGAUUUAUUGGGCGUAAAGCGAGCGCAGGCGGUUUUUUAAGUCUGAUGUGAAAGCCUUCGGCUCAACCGAAGAAGUGCAUCGGAAACUGGGAAACUUGAGUGCAGAAGAGGACAGUGGAACUCCAUGUGUAGCGGUGAAAUGCGUAGAUAUAUGGAAGAACACCAGUGGCGAAGGCGGCUGUCUGGUCUGUAACUGACGCUGAGGCUCGAAAGUAUGGGUAGCAAACAGGAUUAGAUACCCUGGUAGUCCAUACCGUAAACGAUGAAUGCUAAGUGUUGGAGGGUUUCCGCCCUUCAGUGCUGCAGCUAACGCAUUAAGCAUUCCGCCUGGGGAGUACGGCCGCAAGGCUGAAACUCAAAGGAAUUGACGGGGGCCCGCACAAGCGGUGGAGCAUGUGGUUUAAUUCGAAGCUACGCGAAGAACCUUACCAGGUCUUGACAUACUAUGCAAAUCUAAGAGAUUAGACGUUCCCUUCGGGGACAUGGAUACAGGUGGUGCAUGGUUGUCGUCAGCUCGUGUCGUGAGAUGUUGGGUUAAGUCCCGCAACGAGCGCAACCCUUAUUAUCAGUUGCCAGCAUUAAGUUGGGCACUCUGGUGAGACUGCCGGUGACAAACCGGAGGAAGGUGGGGAUGACGUCAAAUCAUCAUGCCCCUUAUGACCUGGGCUACACACGUGCUACAAUGGAUGGUACAACGAGUUGCGAACUCGCGAGAGUAAGCUAAUCUCUUAAAGCCAUUCUCAGUUCGGAUUGUAGGCUGCAACUCGCCUACAUGAAGUCGGAAUCGCUAGUAAUCGCGGAUCAGCAUGCCGCGGUGAAUACGUUCCCGGGCCUUGUACACACCGCCCGUCACACCAUGAGAGUUUGUAACACCCAAAGUCGGUGGGGUAACCUUUUAGGAACCAGCCGCCUAAGGUGGGACAGAUGAUUAGGGUGAAGU